AAAGAAAAGAAAAAGAAAAAAGUGGUAUGAAGCUUGUAUGGUCUAAAGUGUAUCUGUAUUGACAUGUAUAUUGCAUCAUGUGUCUUGUUAGGAUUUUUAUCUCUGAGAGGAAUCUAUUCCCCUUUCCCUUCAGGGUAUCUAUUUCUCCCUUCCUUAUCUAGUCUGGAAAGAUGUAAGAGGACCGCUCCGAAUGGAUGAUGGCGUGCCCUCUGACGAAAGUAGUAUCACACUAUCUGUAGGGGUCACCCGUGGCUAAGUAAUGUCGUUACUAUAGAUAUCUGUUAGGACCACUAUGAUUGGUACAAC
rnacentral:lncRNA from 1 species